AUUAGAGUUUGAUCCUGGCUCAGGACGAACGCUGGCGGCGCGCUUAACACAUGCAAGUCGUACGGAGCUCUUCGGGGCUCAGUGGCGAACGGGUGCGUAACACGUGAGCAACCUGCCUGUGGGUGGGGGAUAACCCGGGGAAACCCGGGCUAAUACCGCACGAUGUCACCGGAUCGAUUGAUCGGGUGAUGAAAGGGGCUUAACGGCCUCGCCCGCAGAGGGGCUCGCGGCGUAUCAGCUAGUUGGUGGGGUAACGGCCCACCAAGGCAACGACGCGUAGCCGAUCUGAGAGGAUGAUCGGCCACAUUGGGACUGAGAUACGGCCCAGACUCCUACGGGAGGCAGCAGUGGGGAAUCUUGCGCAAUGGGCGAAAGCCUGACGCAGCGACGCCGCGUGCGGGAGGAAGCCUUUCGGGGUGUAAACCGCUGUCAGGGGGGAAGAAAGGGCGGGGGAGGAAAUGCCUCUGUUUUGACGGUACCUCCAAAGGAAGCACCGGCUAACUCUGUGCCAGCAGCCGCGGUAAUACAAU
rnacentral:rRNA from 1 species